rnacentral:sRNA from 1 species
AUUGCUAUACUUAUAUCUAUAUCUUAUAUCUAUCUUGAUAUCUAUUCAUACCGACCUCCUUAUCGGCACAGAUAUCUAUUUGAUUAUAUCUAUUACCUAUCUAUCUGAUCUCACCGACCUUCUUAUUGGUGACAAUAUUGGCAUAUUCUAUAUCCUCAAUUCUAUAUCGAUCUAUAUCUGCUUGAUCUAUAAUAUCAACUGAUUUAUUGAUUUCCUAUAUUGACAUUAUUCCAGCAUGAUGGCAACAGAAAUUGCUUCAUCAAAAUUGACAAUUGUCUUGAACUCCUCCAAGAAUUGGAACUUAUGGUACAAGAUAAUAUUAGAUCUUGUCAUAGAGUUUGAUGUACUAGAAUUCAUCAGUGAUGAAACCCCUGAUUGAAUCAGUCAACUAUUCAAACCAUCUCCCCCAGAAAUCCCUAUUGAAUGUACUCUAGAAGUAAAGGUUGGAUGGGAGAUGGAAUAUAUGCAAUAUAAUGAUGAUAGAAUCAUCUAUUGAGAGAAGGUUGAGGGAGU